GUCCUUUUCCUGUCCAUUUCCUUGCUUGGACACUAGUUGGUCAAGUGCACAGACAACUAAAUGCUGAGCAGGACUGAACUCAAUAAAGAGGAGAGAAACCAGAGGCUCAACGCAGCAUGCUGCAGCCAUUGUAAACUUGAUUCAUGUAUUUCCAAAAGGAACACCACAUAACUCGGUAGGGUCCCCUUUCAUCUCCAUUGAAAAAUCAACAGAUGAAGAAAUCUAUGGAGGCCGAAUAUGACAAAUAUUUGAGAGAAGAAAAGAAAAGGACAAGAAAAGGACAGAUCUCGCACAACAUCGAGGAUUAACAAAUCAGGAACGACUGAGUUAGGAAAUCAACAGAUGAAGCAGAUAAAGAAAUCAAUAUAUCUGGACUCCGGGAGGAAAAUUCAGAAGAAAAAUGAGAGGAGAGACUAGAGUUAGGGCAGCAAGCUAAGAGAUAGAGGCAAAGGAAGGAGGUUUUAUAUAACUAGCCAAAACAACAGUGCAUGAGUCAUCAUUUUAGUUAUUACAGUUUUUUCACCUUAAUAACUGAAUCAAAAAACUGAAAUUCCACUAAAAAAUUAACUGAAGCUGAACUGAUGGGCCCAAAAACUGAAUUAGAUUUUUUUUUUGGGGGUUAAAACUGUAAUCUGCUCAGCCCUACAUAGGUGUGCAUGUAUCUUUUAUAUGCACUUGAUCCUUAUGCUUUUAGCAUGUCCUUUUCAACAUUGUUCUUUGAGAUGUCUUAACUACAGUCACAAGUUUCUUCUAAGUUGUGAUUAACAAAGAGGUUUACUUACGUUUUAUUCUUGGUCUCUGACUUUAAUUUUUUGCUUUGCAACUAAAGUCCUCCGUCCACAAACACUCUUUGAUCAGAUAUGCUUUCACAUAAUGGGCAAUUAAAAUUGUAAAACUUUUUCAGGAAUAUGCACCGUGUAACUAUGAUGUUGUGUAUGACUUGAAGUGGUUGCUCUCAACUCUGUUAUGAUCUGUUAUUACCAUUAUUGAGUCUUCUUUUUUAAGAUCAAUAGGCCAAACUUUUGUGAGUUCAUAGACAGAACUCACCCUGAGAAACUGCUUAUAUAUCCCAUUCCACGAUAGAUUUUAUUCUAUGGUAUGUGUAAAGUACAAGAGGAUUAUUUUUUUCUUCUAAAUAACGG
rnacentral:misc_RNA from 1 species